AUAUCAAUAAGCGGAGGAAAAGAAACCAACAGGGAUUGCCCUAGUAACGGCGAGUGAAGCGGCAACAGCUCAAAUUUGAAAUCUGGCUUCUUCGGGGCCCGAGUUGUAAUUUGUAGAGGGAGGCUCGGUAUUAUCAAUUGCCUAAGUUCCUUGGAACAGGACGUCGCAGAGGGUGAGAAUCCCGUAUGUGGCUUUUUGAUUUUACCAUGUGAGCCCCCUUCGACGAGUCGAGUUGUUUGGGAAUGCAGCUCUAAAUGGGAGGUAAAUUUCUUCUAAAGCUAAAUACACGCCAGAGACCGAUAGCGCACAAGUA
rnacentral:rRNA from 1 species